rnacentral:rRNA from 1 species
CCUACGGGGGACAGCAGUGGGGAAUAUUGCACAAUGGGGGAAACCCUGAUGCAGCAACGCCGCGUGAGUGAAGAAGGACUUCGGUAUGUAAAGCUAUAUGAGCAGGGAUGAAGAAGACGGCACCUGAUGAAGAAGAAGCGGCUAACUACGUGCCAGCAGCCGCGGUAGUAAGAAGGGGGCAAGAGUUAUCCGGAUUUACUGGGGGGAAAGGGAGCGCAGACGGCAGUGCAAGUCUGGAGUGAAAGCCCGGGGCCCAACCCCGGGACUGCUCUUGAAACUGUGGGGCUAGAGUACUGGAGGGGCAGGCGGAAUUCCUAGUGUAGCGGUGGAAUGCGUAGAUAUUAGGAGGAACACCAGUGGCGAAGGCGGCCUGCUGGACUUUAACUGACGCUGAUGCUCGAAAGCAUGGGGAGCAAACAGAAUUAGAUACCCUAGUAGUC